CGGAUCGUACUGUUCUCGUUGACACAUGCAGUCGAACGGCAGCACAGGAGAGCUUGCUCUCUGGGUGGCGAGUGGCGGACGGGUGAGGAAUGCAUCGGAAUCUACUCUGUCGUGGGGGAUAACGUAGGGAAACUUACGCUAAUACCGCAUACGACCUACGGGUGAAAGCAGGGGACCUUCGGGCCUUGCGCGAUUGAAUGAGCCGAUGCCCGAUUAGCUAGUUGGCGGGGUAAGAGCCCACCAAGGCGACGAUCGGUAGCUGGUCUGAGAGGAUGAUCAGCCACACUGGAACUGAGACACGGUCCAGACUCCUACGGGAGGCAGCAGUGGGGAAUAUUGGACAAUGGGCGCAAGCCUGAUCCAGCCAUACCGCGUGGGUGAAGAAGGCCUUCGGGUUGUAAAGCCCUUUUGUUGGGAAAGAAAAGCAGCCGGUUAAUACCCGGUUGUUCUGACGGUACCCAGAGAAUAAGCACCGGCUAACUUCGUGCCAGCAGCCGCGGUAAUACGAAGGGUGCAAGCGUUACUCGGAAUUACUGGGCGUAAAGCGUGCGUAGGUGGUUGUUUAAGUCUGUCGUGAAAGCCCUGGGCUCAACCUGGAAAUGGCGAUGGAAACUGGACGACUAGAGUGUGGCAGAGGGUAGUGGAAUUCCUGGUGUAGCAGUGAAAUGCGUAGAGAUCAGGAGGAACAUCCGUGGCGAAGGCGACUGCCUGGGCCAACACUGACACUGAGGCACGAAGAGCGUGCGGAGCAAACAGGAUUAGAUACCCUGGUAGUCCACGCCCUAAACGAUGCGACUGGAAUGUUGGGGGCAAUUUGUCACGCGUAUCGAACCUAACGCGUUAAAUUCGCCGCCUAGGGAGGUACGGUCGCGGGACUGAAACUCAAGGAAUUGGGGGGGGCUCCGCACAAGCGUAGGAUAUGUGUUUUAUUCCGUUGUACGGAAAAAUUUUACUUGG
rnacentral:rRNA from 1 species